rnacentral:rRNA from 1 species
GUGGGGAAUCUUCCACAAUGGACGAAAGUCUGAUGGAGCAACGCCGCGUGAGUGAAGAAGGGUUUCGGCUCGUAAAGCUCUGUUGUCGGGGACGAAUGUGCAGUAUUUGAAUAAAGUAGUGCAAUGACGGUACCUGACGAGGAAGCCACGGCUAACUACGUGCCAGCAGCCGCGGUAAUACGUAGGUGGCAAGCGUUGUCCGGAAUUAUUGGGCGUAAAGGGAGCGCAGGCGGGAAGGUAAGUCGGUCUUAAAAGUGCGGGGCUCAACCCCGUGAUGGGAUCGAAACUAUCUUUCUUGAGUGCAGGAGAGGAAAGUGGAAUUCCUAGUGUAGCGGUGAAAUGCGUAGAUAUUAGGAGGAACACCAGUGGCGAAGGCGACUUUCUGGACUGUAACUGACGCUGAGGCUCGAAAGCCAGGGGAGCGAACGGGAUUAGAUACCCGUGUAGUCC